rnacentral:rRNA from 1 species
AUACGGAGGGUGCAAGCGUUAUCCGGAAUCAUUGGGUUUAAAGGGUCCGCAGGCGGAUUAAUAAGUCAGUGGUGAAAUCCUCUCGCUCAACGAGAGAACUGCCAUUGAAACUGUUAGUCUAGAAUUCGGUCGAAGUAGGCGGAAUGUGUCAUGUAGCGGUGAAAUGCAUAGAUAUGACACAGAACACCGAUAGCGAAGGCAGCUUACUAGACCUGGAUUGACGCUCAUGGACGAAAGCGUGGGGAGCAAACAGGAUUAGAAACCCCAGUAGUCC